CCUACGGGGGGCUGCAGUGGGGAAUAUUGGACAAUGGGGGCAACCCUGAUCCAGCCAUGCCGCGUGUGUGAAGAAGGCCCUCGGGUUGUAAAGCACUUUCAGUGAGGAAGAACGCCUGGUGGUUAAUACCCAUCAGGAAAGACAUCACUCACAGAAGAAGCACCGGCUAACUCCGUGCCAGCAGCCGCGGUAAUACGGAGGGUGCGAGCGUUAAUCGGAAUUACUGGGCGUAAAGCGCGCGUAGGUGGCUUGAUAAGCCGGUUGUGAAAGCCCCGGGCUCAACCUGGGAACGGCAGCCGGGACUGGCGAGGUAGAGGGGAGGGGAGGAAGGGAGGGGGCGCGGGGGAGGGGGGAGAGGCGGAGGGGGGGGGCGGGGUGGGAGGGGGGGAGGGGGCCUUGGGGACUGAGGGUGCGAGUGGGGUGCGGAGGGGUGGGUGGCGGAGGGGGGGGGAGAGGGGGGGAGGG
rnacentral:rRNA from 1 species